ACCGCAUAAACGUGCGUCGCCCCAUGCAUAUUCGAGCGAAACACCACCCACUUAUUGUCGGGAGUGAUAGUCACAUUCGGCUCCAACCGGUAGUCAUGCUUCGAUAGGUCCACCAGCCUCUCAACCGCCAGCUUGCCAAUUUUCACGUCCUCACCACCUACGUUCAUCGUCUCGGCUGCUUCGUCCGUCGGCCUGAACAAGUAAAUCCACUGCCCAUUCCCCGGCGGAUUGAGAGUCUUUCGCUCCGGCAGCGGCGUCAGGUUGGCGACGCUCCCGGGCCCGCCCCCGUCGCCGGCGAAAAGCUUGCCGUCGCGCGAAAUGUUGAAAUGCACCGACCAGUGCUCGCGAGCCA
rnacentral:misc_RNA from 1 species